rnacentral:lncRNA from 1 species
UCAGACCAAGCAUUCAAAAGCCAAGGGUGUGUUGGACAUCAGCCCUGGCUUUUCCAAUGACUUGACUUGCAUCACUUCGCUCUGCUCUUCUAGUGACCUUAAGUGACCACAAUCAGGAUUUUUGGACAGUGGCACCUGAUUUUCACAGAGGAACCUUCCACCUACUCCAAGAGAUACGGCCUUGGUAGGACUGUCAAUCAAAGUGAUGUCCUCUCCAGCUCAAGAGGAGUGUUUGGUGGCUCUUACGUGGUAUUGUACUGGAAGGAAGAGUUAAGCCUUGGAUUCCCCAAGCUGUUGAAAGGAUCCAGUCUUCCCCAGUGCUGUUGCCAUCUUCCAGGGAAGUGUCUUUGACUUUGGUCUUGAAGAGAGUUUUAUCCCCCC